rnacentral:tRNA from 1 species
AGGGAUUUAGCUCAGUGGUUCCAGCAUUUGCCUCGCAAGCAAAAGGUCCCAAGUUCAAUCCCCA